ACGGGUGAGUAACGCGUGGGAAUCUACCGUGCCCUGCGGAAUAGCUCCGGGAAACUGGAAUUAAUACCGCAUACGCCCUACGGGGGAAAGAUUUAUCGGGGUAUGAUGAGCCCGCGUUGGAUUAGCUAGUUGGUGGGGUAAAGGCCUACCAAGGCGACGAUCCAUAGCUGGUCUGAGAGGAUGAUCAGCCACAUUGGGACUGAGACACGGCCCAAACUCCUACGGGAGGCAGCAGUGGGGAAUAUUGGACAAUGGGCGCAAGCCUGAUCCAGCCAUGCCGCGUGAGUGAUGAAGGCCUUAGGGUUGUAAAGCUCUUUCACCGGAGAAGAUAAUGGCGGUAUCCGGAGAAGAAGCCCCGGCUAACUUCGUGCCAGCAGCCGCGGUAAUACGAAGGGGGCUAGCGUUGUUCGGAAUUACUGGGCGUAAAGCGCACGUAGGCGGAUAUUUAAGUCAGGGGUGAAAUCCCAGAGCUCAACUCUGGAACUGCCUUUGAUACUGGGUAUCUUGAGUAUGGAAGAGGUAAGUGGAAUUCCGAGUGUAGAGGUGAAAUUCGUAGA
rnacentral:rRNA from 1 species